CAAGAAACGAGGCUACGUGCCCCGCUCUUUACCUUGCCUACUGCACUAUCUGUUGCUUCCUGGCGGCGGUUUGCCUGCCGCCAGGGACAUUGUAAAGCCCUGUACUAAGCAUUAAAAAACUGAAACAAACCGAAUCGUA
rnacentral:misc_RNA from 1 species